rnacentral:rRNA from 1 species
AAUAGAUACCCGGGUAGUCCACGCCGUAAACGAUGAGUGCUAAGUGUUAGAGGGUUUCCGCCCUUUAGUGCUGCAGCUAACGCAUUAAGCACUCCGCCUGGGGAGUACGGUCGCAAGACUGAAACUCAAAGGAAUUGACGGGGGCCCGCACAAGCGGUGGAGCAUGUGGUUUAAUUCGAAGCAACGCGAAGAACCUUACCAGGUCUUGACAUCCUCUGACAACUCUAGAGAUAGAGCGUUCCCCUUCGGGGGACAGAGUGACAGGUGGUGCAUGGUUGUCGUCAGCUCGUGUCGUGAGGUGUUGGGUUAAGUCCCGCAACGAGCGCAACCCUUGAUCUUAGUUGCCAGCAUUCAGUUGGGGCACUCUAAGGUGACGUGCCGGUGACAAACCGGAGGAAGGUGGGGAUGACGUCAAAUCAUCAUGCCCCUUAUGACCUGGGCUACACACGUGCUACAAUGGAUGGUACAAAGAGCUGCGAACCCGCGAGGGUAAGCCAAUCUCAUAAAGCCAUUCUCAGUUCGGAUUGU